CCUACGGGCGGCUGCAGUGGGGAAUAUUGCACAAUGGGCGCAAGCCUGAUGCGGCCAUGCCGCGUGUGUGAAGAAGGCCUUCGGGUUGUAAAGCACUUUCAGCGGGGAGGAAGGCGGUGAGGUUAAUAACCUCAUCGAUUGACGUUACCCGCAGAAGAAGCACCGGCUAACUCCGUGCCAGCAGCCGCGGUAAUACGGAGGGUGCAAGCGUUAAUCGGAAUUACUGGGCGUAAAGCGCACGCAGGCGGUCUGUCAAGUCGGAUGUGAAAUCCCCGGGCUCAACCUGGGAGCUGCAUUCGAAACUGGCAGGCUAGAGUCUUGUAGAGGGGGGUAGAAUUCCAGGUGUAGCGGUGAAAUGCGUAGAGAUCUGGAGGAAUACCGGUGGCGAAGGCGGCCCCCUGGACAAAGACUGACGCUCAGGUGCGAAAGCGUGGGGAGCAAACAGGAUUAGAUACCCUUGUAGUC
rnacentral:rRNA from 1 species